rnacentral:lncRNA from 1 species
UCUAAAUGCACGAGAUGUCUGGAACGUCCGUAAAGACAUCAGUUGUGUCUGAUCAAUACUUGUACAUGUAGAACAAACAGUACACAAAUUAUAUAUAUGUAUCUCUGUUUUUUUGGUAUAUUUACUUGUUCGGUAUAAAUAUGUAUAUUCAUAAACAAAUAUACAAAAAUGAAUAUUUAAUACUUUAAUAUUUUUUAGGGUGUGACAUAAAGUAAGUAUAGAUGUGUUAAUGUUCUGUUUUUUUUGUUGGUUUUUUUUUUUUUUUUGUGAUGUGUGUAUGUUGGGAUUUUUUUUCGUGCGUUUUUUGUUUGCUACAGCUUAAUAUUUUUAUUUUAGUGCUUUCCAGCAUGUAAUGUCGGUAAAACAGGAAUGUUUUUCUACCUCACUAAAAUAGCCAAGAUAGGAUACUAGGUUAAACUAUGUAUGUCAUAUAUACAUAUUAUAUAGUCUCCAAAUUUUAAAGCUUAACGAUUAUUUUUUUUUCUCACGCUUAAAUGACUGGUUGUAAGGUCAGUACUCACCAGAUAAUAUAAACCGUAAACCAGUUUAAAUUUACACAAAAUUCAUCACUAGAAGCCUUGUUCUAAUGAAACUUUAUGGGACAGAAUUUUUUUACUGUUAUCUUGUCUCAAAUAAUACCAUGAUAGAAGGUGAGAUUAUUACAAAUGACUUGAAUGAAUAAGUGAAGCUGACUUAACAAAUAGUACUAAUAAUUGAAAAUUUAUUGCGAAAUUUUAAAUUUUAUUUCUUUUAAAAGAGAAUCAAUCCUGUAGCCCUAUCAAACAUGCUUUAUGUUUUCUACUAGUGCUUACUGCUUACUGCUUAGCUUAUAUUAAUAUGAUUUUUAUUUGUGUUGAUUUGCCUGAAGCUUAAUUUGUGCAUGACUGAAGCUUAAUUUGUACAUGUCAAGAGCUUUUAGAUUAGCUGCUAUUAAUUAUUAGUUACAUAUUAUACAUGCUUUCCUGUGCUCAUGGUGUAAAUAUCAUGAAGUGUAUUAAGAAAAAAAUAAUCACUUGCAAAAUCCUGAAAAUGUUAACA